rnacentral:rRNA from 1 species
GUCAAGCUACAAAGGGCUCCCCGGCGGAUAACCUUGGUCACACACAAGGCGAUGAAAGGAGAUGGGGUUACCUGGCGAUUAGUACUCGGGGAAGCUGGGGAGACACGCCCUUCUUAUUCUGUGAAUUC